GUGUGUGUGUGUGUGUGUGUGUGUGUGUGUGUGUGUGUGUGUGUGUGCAUGUGUGUGUGUGCAUGUGUGUGUGUGUGUGUGCAUGUGUGUGUGUGUGUGUGCAUGUGUGUGUGUGUAAGUGUGUUGUUUUUG
ensembl:miRNA Gm25000 predicted gene, 25000